CCUACGGGAGGCUGCAGUGGGGAAUAUUGGACAAUGGGGGGAACCCUGAUCCAGCCAUGCCGCGUGUGUGAAGAAGGCCCUCGGGUUGUAAAGCACUUUCAGUGAGGAAGAACGCCUGGUGGUUAAUACCCAUCAGGAAAGACAUCACUCACAGAAGAAGCACCGGCUAACUCCGUGCCAGCAGCCGCGGUAAUACGGAGGGUACGAGCGUUAAUCGGAAUUACUGGGCGUAAAGCGCGCGUAGGUGGCUUGAUAAGCCGGUUGUGAAAGCCCCGGGCUCAACCUGGGAACGGCAUCCGGAACUGUCAAGCUAGAGUGCAGGAGAGGAAGGUAGAAUUCCCGGUGUAGCGGUGAAAUGCGUAGAGAUCGGGAGGAAUACCAGUGGCGAAGGCGGCCUUCUGGACUGACACUGACACUGAGGUGCGAAAGCGUGGGUAGCAAACAGGAUUAGAUACCCUGGUAGUC
rnacentral:rRNA from 1 species